CACGAAUACACAUGUGCUCGAUGCUUUGCACAGGUCGGAAGCUGCCAGCUCAUUCACAGAAUUGCAAACUCGUGGCUCAUCGAAUAUACCAGUAUCUGCAUCCCUUGCUGGAGUUACAAGGCCACACACGGAACCACACGUACUUGGUAUGUCAUCCUGAUGUCACGUUGCUAUUUUU
rnacentral:lncRNA from 1 species